GGGAGUUAAGUUUACAGUCAUCCGAAUAGUUAGUUUAGACAAUUUGAUCAAAUAGUUAGAUGUCCUCUAAAUUUAGAGGAGAGAAGUGAGAAAUGUCAGGGAUGUUACCAUCAUGAUCUUCUUGUUGGGGAGCAUGAGCAGUAAAGUCAGCAGUGGUAUUGGCAUUGAAUGGAUAGGGAUGCAUCAACAGGUUAUUGUUCUCCAUUAAAAAGCAUACCACAGAUUUAACAGUAUGUAAUGAUAACUGAACAUCUUUUAAUUUUUCCAAAAUUAGAGUUUGAUUGUGGAAAAGAAGUUGGUACAUACUGUUAAGGGAAUCAAUUUUUGUGGCCAUGUUGAUGUUGGUUUCAAGGACCUCAUGAUUAAUGGGUUUAAAAAUAAUGAGUGACUGAGGUGGCAGAUUUAAGUGGGAUAUAAUGUUGCUGGUGGGAACGAGUUGAGACUGAUGAUUUGACAAAGGAAUGUUCAAAUAAUUUAACACAUGUGUGAGGAGUAGACCAAAACCAAGAUAAUUAUUUUGAAAAUAGAAUUCAAACGAUGACAGCAAGAAGUAGGCCAGAUUGUAGGGCACACAUUCAUUUAAAAGACUCUUUAUAAUUUCCAAAUCAAAG
rnacentral:lncRNA from 1 species